rnacentral:rRNA from 1 species
AACGAACGCUGGCGGCGUGGCUAAGACAUGCAAGUCGUACGAUAUGUUGUAGCAAUAUGGCAUAUAGUGGCGGACGGGUGAGUAAUGCAUGGGUAAUGUACCUUGGACACAGGAAUAGCGUCGAGCCCCGCAAGGGGUUCUUUGCGAAAGUGACGGUAAUACCUGAUGAAGAAUUUGGAAGGCAUCUUUUGAUUUCCAAAGGGUGGGGACCGCAAGGCCUACCGGUCUGAGAUCAGCCCAUGUCCUAUCAGCUAGUUGGUAAGGUAAUGGCUUACCAAGGCAUCGACGGGUAGCCGGUCUGAGAGGAUGGUCGGCCACAUCGGAACUGAGACACUGUCCGGACACCUACGGGUGGCUGCAGUAACGAAUAAUCCGCAAUGGGCGCAAGCCUGACGGUGCGACGCCGCGUGCA